GAAGGUAUAGCUCAAGUGGUAGUGCACAUGCUUAGCAUGCAUGAGGUCCUGGGUUCAAUCCCCAGUACCUCCU
rfam:Camelus ferus unplaced genomic scaffold scaffold141, whole genome shotgun sequence.